rnacentral:rRNA from 1 species
GACGAACGCUGGCGGCGUGCUUAACACAUGCAAGUCGAACGGAAAGGCCCUGCUUUUGUGGGGUGCUCGAGUGGCGAACGGGUGAGUAACACGUGAGUAACCUGCCCUUGACUUUGGGAUAACUUCAGGAAACUGGGGCUAAUACCGGAUCGGAGCUCCUGCUGCAUGGUGGGGGUUGGAAAGUUUCGGCGGUUGGGGAUGGACUCGCGGCUUAUCAGCUUGUUGGUGGGGUAGUGGCUUACCAAGGCUUUGACGGGUAGCCGGCCUGAGAGGGUGACCGGCCACAUUGGGACUGCGAUACGGCCCAGACUCCUACGGGAGGCAGCAGUGGGGAAUAUUGCACAAUGGGCGGAAGCCUGAUGCAGCAACGCCGCGUGCGGGAUGACGGCCUUCGGGUUGUAAACCGCUUUCGCCUGUGACGAAGCGUGAGUGACGGUAAUGGGUAAAGAAGCACCGGCUAACUACGUG